rnacentral:rRNA from 1 species
GGCGGCAGGCUUAACACAUGCAAGUCGAGCGCUCAGCAAUGAGAGCGGCGCACGGGUGAGUAACACGUGGGAACAUGCCCUUUGGUUCGGAAUAACUCAGGGAAACUUGUGCUAAUACCGGAUAAGCCCUUACGGGGAAAGAUUUAUCGCCAAAGGAGUGGCCCGCGUCCGAUUAGCUAGUUGGUGAGGUAAAGGCUCACCAAGGCGACGAUCGGUAGCUGGUCUGAGAGGACGACCAGCCACACUGGGACUGAGACACGGCCCAGACUCCUACGGGAGGCAGCAGUGGGGAAUCUUGAACAAUGGGGGAAACCCUGAUCCAGCCAUGCCGCGUGAGUGAUGAAGGCCCUAGGGUUGUAAAACUCUUUCGGCGGGGACGAUAAUGACGGUACCCGCAGAAGAAGCUCCGGCUAACUUCGUGCCAGCAGCCGCGGUAAUACGAAGGGGGCUAGCGUUGUUCGGAAUUACUGGGCGUAAAGCGCGCGCAGGCGGUCCUUCCA